rnacentral:rRNA from 1 species
GAUGAACGCUGGCGGCGUGCUUAACACAUGCAAGUCGAACGAGAAAUGGAGACGGAAACCUUCGGGCGGAAGGCUUCAUUUCGAGUGGCGGACGGGUGAGUAACGCGUGGGUAACCUGCCUCAUACAGGGGGAUAACAGUUGGAAACGACUGUUAAUACCGCAUAAGACCACAGCACCGCAUGGUGCGGGGGUAAAAACUCCGGUGGUAUGAGAUGGACCCGCGUUCGAUUAGCCAGUUGGCGGGGUAACGGCCCACCAAAGCGACGAUCGAUAGCCGAUCUGAGAGGAUGACCGGCCACAUUGGGACUGAGACACGGCCCAAACUACUACGGGAGGCAGCAGUGGGGAAUAUUGCACAAUGGGGGAAACCCUGAUGCAGCGACGCCGCGUGAGUGAAGAAGUACUUCGGUAUGUAAAGCUCUAUCAGCAGGGAAGAAAAUGACGGUACCUGAGGAAGAAGCCCCGGCUAACUACGUG